rnacentral:rRNA from 1 species
UACGUAGGUGGCAAGCGUUGUCCGGAUUUACUGGGUGUAAAGGGCGUGUAGGCGGAGCUGCAAGUCGGAAGUGAAAUCCCCGGGCUUAACCCGGGAACUGCUUCUGAAACUGCAGGUCUUGAGUACUGGAGAGGAAAGCGGAAUUCCUAGUGUAGCGGUGAAAUGCGUAGAUAUUAGGAGGAACACCAGUGGCGAAGGCGGCUUUCUGGACAGAAACUGACGCUGAGGCGCGAAAGCGUGGGGAG